ACAGGACUUUUUUUUUCUUAACCUUUCAUUCAGUUUCAAGCUAUUGGCGAUUCUUGAGAGGUUUCCGGUUUUCCGUACAGCGGUUAUCUAAAGGAGGAGGUGAUAGCAUCUCCGGCUAGACGAGCCCAACCGGCUGCCGGUUCACGACUCUCCCAGAGCAGCUCCCUUUAAACCAGACGACGCAUUCCUUCCAAGCGCCAAAACUGAGCGAACCCAGAAGAGUGAGGAUUCUCCUGGAAUAAAAAAGUCCACAAUGCCGUUCAGGACUGGACUUCCUCUUCCUGUAACUUUUCUCUGCAGUCAUGAGUUUGGCUGAAACCAAGAGAAUCAGGCGGAUCAGGCUAAACUUGUCUGAGGCGCUGCUCCGUGUUUGUCCUUUUAACACCUGAAAUCCCAUCAACAGCUGAUGAAAGUCCCACAAAAGCAGCAGAACUUUCAGAAAAUUCCUGCUUUGUUCUCUGUGAGAACUUUCUGUUUAAUCUGUGCAGAUCCUCCUCCUCAUCCACCACCCCCUCCGUGGAGCAGAAUGUCGAAGAGGUGGAGAAACGACGAGGAAACCGGUCGAGCAGGUAUGGGGAGGCCUGUUGUCACCGUUAUUUCUGCGGCGCAUGCGCGCUACCCUCCAGUUUCCUGCUUUUUUUUUUUUUAAAUGAGUACCUGCGUUUGACCCACCUCUGCCCGUGACAGAUCAGGAAUAUCAGCUUUUUUCUCUCCUUUCCCCUCCUCCUCCUUCACCCACUCCCACUCCGUUAUUUCAGGGAUGAUCCACGGUUUGGCGUCGCUGCUCACCUGAGCUCGCUCACCUGUCGGAGUAACUUCCCCCCCCUCUCAGAGAAAAAGAGGGAAAAACAAAAAAAAAAAAGGAAGAGGAGCGGCACCUUUUUCAGUUUGCCUUCUUUGCCUCGCGAGCCUCACCUGCGUGGCUCCCGCGCCCGGAACCCUUUCCCCGCAGCGGAUCGGUUUUCACGCGCCCCAGAAUGCCGAGGGCCUUUCUGGUGAAGAAGGCGAACGUUUCGCCCGGAAAGCGGAACUGGAGCGAGCUCCCCGACCACGAGCGCGGGGACGUUUACAUCCCAGGUGAGUCUCGGCGCCGACGUCGCUUCCUUUCGUCCUUCCUCGCCGGCGGCGCGUUUUUACGCACGGAAAAAGUAGCGGGAAUCCGACCGUUUGGGGAUCCACGGGGGGGGGAACGUCGCAGGUGGAGGUGGUGGUAGUGAAGGGGGGGAGGGGGCUGUGAGGUAACGGGGCACGCGGAUAACGGGAAUCCCAGCGACCCACAAGGAGAGUCCAAACUUUUCAUUAUUUUAAGUUAAAGUCGCACAUGCGCAUUGGAAACACAAAGAUUUUUGCGUCAAAAUCAGAUAAUUUUUCACUUUAUUUGCUAAAAUAUAAACAAAACGUGGAGGAAAAAAACCGUUUUCCUUUUUUUAUGAUCUGCUCUUUGCCGCAAUUGCUUUUCUCCUCGACCUUCAACCCCUGAUUGCUGCGUCCUGCCCUGUUCCGCCGGGCUCCUCGUGCGCUGAUUAUCCUAUCACUGGGCUGGUCUACCUGGGAGGCCCGGAACACGGAACCAGCCGAUAUUUCCCAG
ensembl:lncRNA